CAGCAGCCACGGUAAUACGUAGGGUGCAAGUGUUAAUCGGAAUUACUGGGCGUAAAGCGUGCGCAGGCGGUUAUAUAAGACAGAUGUGAAAUCCCCGGGCUCAACCUGGGAACUGCAUUUGUGACUGUAUAGCUAGAGUACGGCAGAGGGGGAUGGAAUUCCGCGUGUAGCAGUGAAAUGCGUAGAUAUGCGGAGGAACACCGAUGGCGAAGGCAAUCCCCUGGGCCUGUACUGACGCUCAUGCACGAAAGCGUGGGGAGCAAACAGGAUUAGAUACCCCGGUAGUCCCUGUCUCUUAUAC
rnacentral:rRNA from 1 species